rnacentral:pre_miRNA from 1 species
AGUACAAUUGCUGGAUCAUAUGGUAAGAGCAUGUUUAGUUUUUAUAGAAACUGCCAAAAUGUUUUACAAACUGGCUGUACCAUUUUGCAUUUCCAACAGCAAU